AUACGGGGGGUGCAAGCGUUAAUCGGAAUUACUGGGCGUAAAGCGCGCGUAGGCGGUUUGCUCAGUCGGAUGUGAAAGCCCAGGGCUCAACCUUGGAACUGCAUACGAUACUGGCAAACUAGAGUGUGAGAGAGGAUAGUGGAAUUUCCGGUGUAGCGGUGAAAUGCGUAGAUAUCGGAAGGAACAUCAGUGGCGAACGCGACUGUCUGGCUCAACACUGACGCUGAGGUGCGAAAGCGUGGGUAGCAAACAGGAUUAGAAACCCCAGUAGUCC
rnacentral:rRNA from 1 species